rnacentral:rRNA from 1 species
CUACGGGAGGCAGCAGUGGGGAAUCUUGGGCAAUGGGGGAAACCCUGACCCAGCGACGCCGUGUGGGGGAUGAAGGCUUUCGGGUUGUAAACCCCUGUUAGGUGGGACGAAUGCUCUCUCAUAAAUAGUGAGAGGGUUUGACGGUACCACCAGAGAAAGCCCCGGCUAACUCCGUGCCCGCAGCCGCGGUAAUACGGAGGGGGCGAGUGUUGUUCGGAAUUACUGGGCGUAAAGGGCGCGCAGGCGGCUUGGCAAGUCGAGUGUGAAAUCCCUCAGCUUAACUGAGGAAUUGCGCUUGAAACUAUCUCGCUAGAGGACGGGAGAGGGAAGUGGAACUCUCGGUGUAGGGGUGAAAUCUGUAGAUAUCGAGAGGAACACCGGUGGCGAAGGCGGCUUCCUGGCCCGUAUCUGACGCUGAGGCGCGAAAGCGUGGGGAGCAAACAGGAUUAGAUACCCUGGUAGUCCACGCCCUAAACGAUGGGCACUAGGUGUGGGCGGUGUCGACUCCUUCCGUGCCGAAGCUAACGCAUUAAGCACCCCGCCUGGGGAGUACGGCCGCAAGGCUAAAACUCAAAGGAAUUGACGGA